UCCCUGGUGGCUUAGAUGGUAAAGAAUCUGCCUGCAAUGCAGGAGACCUGGGUUCGAUUCCUGGGUUGGGAA
rnacentral:tRNA from 1 species